CUGGCCAGUGGGCCGAUGAUGUCCUUUUAAGUUCAAUUAGAUGCUCUGAUUUCAUAAUUGAUAUUUGUAUGAUAUGGUUUGAUUGUUUGAACUUAGUUUCAUUAUGAUACAUCACUUGACCUUUACAUGAAUCGAUGAUUCGUCCGUUGGAUCGUCACCAAACUUUAAUACAUUAUUGUAUGUAAUAUUUGAGGAUAACUAGUACCGACGGAUUGUAAAUCCGACGUACGGAUCUUCCCAAAUUAGAUUUCUAAGUUAGUAAAAUUAAUUGUGAACCGCCACCCAAUUCUAGUAAUUGGCGAAGAUCUAUAUAUAUAUAUAUAUCACAUACCAUAGACCUAUGUCUAUUGAAUGUGAAUUCUAUUGAAGUGUUAUUUUUAUUUCUAGCCAUCUAUCUAUUUUCAUUAAGUAUGAUUUGACUUGUGCUUUGGAAAUAUGGUUUGUAUUGUAUGAUUGGAUUGAUGUGAUGAAAUGUGAGGGCUAGUAGUGGACCGUUAACCUAUUGUCAUAGGGUCUGUUACUUAUACACUUGUUUCACAUCUUGUUUCCUUAUUUCAUUUUUUGUGUCAUUCAGCCCUUCUAAAUUAAGUACUUGGUUCUUGUAUUGUUUCU
rnacentral:lncRNA from 1 species